CAGUCGCCCGGUAAUACGUAGGUGGCAAGCGUUGUCCGGAAUUAUUGGGCGUAAAGGGCUCGCAGGCGGUUUCUUAAGUCUGAUGUGAAAGCCCCCGGCUCAACCGGGGAGGGUCAUUGGAAACUGGGAAACUUGAGUGCAGAAGAGGAGAGUGGAAUUCCACGUGUAGCGGUGAAAUGCGUAGAGAUGUGGAGGAACACCAGUAGCGAAGGCGACUCUCUGGUCUGUAACUGACGCUGAGGAGCGAAAGCGUGGGGAGCGAACAGGAUUAGAGACCCCUGUAGUCCCUGUCUCUUAUACA
rnacentral:rRNA from 1 species